CCUACGGGAGGCAGCAGUGGGGAAUAUUGGGCAAUGGAGGAAACUCUGACCCAGCGACGCCGCGUGCGGGAUGAAGGCCUUCGGGUUGUAAACCGCUUUCAGUAGGGAAGAAGCGAAAGUGACGGUACCUACAGAAGAAGCACCGGCUAACUAUGUGCCAGCAGCCGCGGUAAUACAUAGGGUGCAAGCGUUGUCCGGAAUUAUUGGGCGUAAAGAGCUCGUAGGUGGUUCGUCACGUCGGAUGUGAAAAUCUGGGGCUCAACCCCAGACCUGCAUUCGAUACGGGCGAUCUAGAGUGUGGUAGGGGAGACUGGAAUUCCUGGUGUAGCGGUGGAAUGCGCAGAUAUCAGGAGGAACACCAAUGGCGAAGGCAGGUCUCUGGGCCAUUACUGACACUGAGGAGCGAAAGCGUGGGGAGCGAACAGGAUUAGAUACCCUGGUAGUCCACGCCGUAAACGGUGGGCACUAGUUGUGGGAACCUUCCACGGUUUCUGCGACGCAGCUAACGCAUUAAGUGCCCCGCCUGGGGAGUACGAUCGCAAGAUUAAAACUCAAAUGAAUUGACGG
rnacentral:rRNA from 1 species